GCAGUCGAGCGGACUAAUGGGAGCUUGCUCCCAGAGGUCAGCGGCGGACGGGUGAGUAACACGUGGGCAACCUGCCCUGUAGACUGGGAUAACACCGAGAAAUCGGUGCUAAUACCGGAUAACUUCCAAGGUCUCCUGACCUUCUAUUAAAAGAUGGCUCCGGCUAUCACUACAGGAUGGGCCCGCGGCGCAUUAGCUAGUUGGUGAGGUAACGGCUCACCAAGGCGACGAUGCGUAGCCGACCUGAGAGGGUGAUCGGCCACACUGGGACUGAGACACGGCCCAGACUCCUACGGGAGGCAGCAGUAGGGAAUCUUCCGCAAUGGACGAAAGUCUGACGGAGCAACGCCGCGUGAGUGAUGAAGGAUUUCGGUUCGUAAAGCUCUGUUGUUAGGGAAGAACAAGUGCCGUUCGAAUAGGGCGGCACCUUGACGGUACCUAACCAGAAAGCCACGGCUAACUACGUGCCAGCAGCCGCGGUAAUACGUAGGUGGCAAGCGUUGUCCGGAAUUAUUGGGCGUAAAGCGCGCGCAGGCGGUCUUUUAAGUCUGAUGUGAAAGCCCACGGCUCAACCGUGGAGGGUCAUUGGAAACUGGGAGACUUGAGUACAGAAGAAGAGAGUGGAAUUCCACGUGUAGCGGUGAAAUGCGUAGAUUUGUGGAGGAACACCAGUGGCGAAAGCGACUCUCUGGUCUGUAACUGACGCUUAGGCGCGAAAGCGUGGGGAGCAAACAGGAUUAGAUACCCUGGUAGUCCACGCCGUAAACGAUGAGUGCUAGGUGUUAGGGGUUUCGAUGCCCUUAGUGCCGAAGUUAACACAUUAAGCACUCCGCCUGGGGAGUACGACCGCAAGGUUGAAACUCAAAGGAAUUGACGGGGGCCCGCACAAGCAGUGGAGCAUGUGGUUUAAUUCGAAGCAACGCGAAGAACCUUACCAGGUCUUGACAUCCUUUGACCACCCUAGAGAUAGGGCUUUCCCCUUCGGGGGANAAGUGACAGGUGGUGCAUGGUUGUCGUCAGCUCGUGUCGUGAGAUGUUGGGUUAAGUCCCGCAACGA
rnacentral:rRNA from 1 species